rnacentral:rRNA from 1 species
UACGUAGGGGGCUAGCGUUGUCCGGAAUCAUUGGGCGUAAAGCGCGCGUAGGCGGCCCGGUAAGUCCGCUGUAAAAGUCCAGGGCUCAACCCUGGAAAGCCGGUGGAUACUGUCGGGCUCGAGUCCGGAAGAGGCGAGUGGAACUCCUGGUGUAGCGGUGGAAUGCGCAGAUAUCAGGAAGAACACCGACGGCGAAGGCAGCUCGCUGGGACGGUACUGACGUUGAGGCGCGAAAGCGUGGGGAGCGAACAGG